GGAGUCGAGGGGAAUGGUGUUUUGUUUCCUUUCUCUUAUAGUUUAAUCCCGGGGCUUUCUUCUUUAUUGUUUUAUAUUUCCCUUUUUUCUUCCUUUCUCUGUUUCCAUUCUGUCCCGCGGAGGAUUUAGUUCUGCUAGUUUCACAAACUGAGUCGUUGUUAGGGUUUAUUUUAUUAUUAUUAUAAUAUUUUUUUUGUAAUUAACUUGGCUCCCCUGUCUGGUGUGGUUGAGUGAUUUAUUUUUGCAAAGUAGAGCCGAGUAGAAAAGGACCACCGCUUGCCUCUGUGUGAAUGAAAACGCUUCAUUUUGAGAGUUUGCCUGGAAGGGAG